rnacentral:lncRNA from 1 species
AAAACAUUUCAUGAGAUUCAAAAAUCUGAUUUGCUUCCUCUUAUGUACUUUUUCACAUUUCUUUUUAUCCCUCCCCCAAUAUGUGAUAAUACACUGAUAUAUGAAGGACGUAUGCGUGUUUUAAAGGGCCAAGGAAAGAAGAUACUGAGCAAACUGCUGCUCUGGAAGUGGUCCCAAGUAAGAGGAGAAAUGACACAGGUGGCUCCUGCUUUGAAGAAGGGAAGAGAAAACAGAAUUCUGGGGGCAAGCUAAAAGGGAAACAACCGCGAGUGCAGUGGAUUGACUGAAAACUACCUGAUGUUCUGCAAUCCUGGAGGCUGUCCUGAGCGCUGAGUAGUCAUAUGCUGAAUGAUCGUCAGAACCUGCUGAACCCACUUCAAAGGAUAAACCAACAUCGAAGCAACAGCACUGGCUUGGAAACUGUGAGAUUCGACAUGAAUUCUCUGAUGGAAGAAAUCCAGUUGCAUUAUGUGAUAGCAACCAGAUCAUAUGGAAUGCCGAAAGAAGCAGAACUUGAUGAAAGAAGAAGAGGAAGAGAUGGAGAAGCACUCAACCAAUUUGGAGUGUCUGAAGCUGGAGAGCUCAAACCCAGUGAUGACUCUGGUGGAGCCCCUCUUCAUGGCUCACAGCCUUCCCCAAGAUAAGUCGGUAAUGAGACACGCAAAUUGCUGAUACCUUCGCCCUCACCAGUUCAACAAUUGUGGGAUUCUGAACUAUUAAUAAAAUGUAACAAAAUAUUCCA